GUCUACAGCCAUCCCACCUUGAACAUACCCAAUCUUGUCUGAUCUUGGAAGGUAAGCAGGGUCAGGCUUCUUUAGUACUUGAACAGGAGAAAUAGAUU
rnacentral:rRNA from 1 species